GGAGCUGCUUAGUAUACUGGAUUGUUACACUGGGUUUGACAGGUUUGAGAUACUGCAGUGUGGCGAUGUUGAAAAACUCAUCAAAAAGCGCGUUAACCCAAGGGAGAAUCCUGGUUAUUAUGUUAGCAUAGAAGAAACAUGAUGUGGUUAGGCGUGCACAUAUAGUCACAGGACAUGGUGGUCGAGAUCGCAUGACCAAAGAAAUCAACAAAAAGUAUGCAAACAUCACUCGCGAUGUUCUCAAUCUUUUCAAGUCUUAUUGUCAUGAAUGUCAGAAGAAACGUAAGCGCCCAAGGAUUAAGGGUGUUGUAGUGCGCCCCAUUCUCACAAAUGAGUUCGCUUCUCGUGCACAAAUUGAUCUUAUUGAUAUGCAGUCCAUGGCCCCAAAAUCAUUUAAGUGGAUUUUUGUCUAUCAAGACCACCUAACCAAGUUUGUCAUUCUUCGAGCCCUAACUUCAAAGCGUGCUGCUGAGGUAGCUCAUCACCUGCUUGAUAUAUUCCUUCUCAUUGGUGCCCCAUCUAUUCUCCAGAGCGACAAUGGAAGUGAAUUCACAGCAGAGGUUAUCAGUGAACUGAAAAUUGUGUAGCCCAGGCUGGUUAUGGUCCAUGGUAAACCUCGACACCCUCAAAGUCAGGGGUCUGUGGAAAGGGCAAAUGGUGAUAUCAAGGAUAUGCUUGUUGCAUGGAUGGGAGAUAAUGACACAAAUGAUUGGUCAGUAGGCAUAAAAUUUGUUCAACUUCAUCUUCAUCUAUUUUACUACAAAUGAUUUGAUUUGAGUUUAAAUAAAGUGUUACAUUAA